UUACGAGAGCUUGCUCUCGUAAAUUAGCGGCGGACGGGUGAGUAACACGUGGGCAACCUGCCUAUAAGACUGGGAUAACUUCGGGAAACCGGAGCUAAUACCGGAUAAUUCAUAUCUACUCAUGUAGAUAUGCUGAAAGACGGUUUACGCUGUCACUUAUAGAUGGGCCCGCGGCGCAUUAGCUAGUUGGUGAGGUAACGGCUCACCAAGGCAACGAUGCGUAGCCGACCUGAGAGGGUGAUCGGCCACACUGGGACUGAGACACGGCCCAGACUCCUACGGGAGGCAGCAGUGGGGAAUCUUGCGCAAUGGGCGAAAGCCUGACGCAGCAACGCCGCGUGCGGGAUGACGGCCUUCGGG
rnacentral:rRNA from 1 species